GGUUAUAGCUCAGUGACAGAGUUCCUGCCUGGCAAGCACAAAAUCCUGAGUUCGAGUCCCAGUACCA
rnacentral:tRNA from 1 species